UACGUAGGGUGCAAGCGUUAAUCGGAAUUACUGGGCGUAAAGCGUGCGCAGGCGGUUCGCUAAGACAGAUGUGAGAUCCCCGGGCUUAACCUGGGAACUGCAUUUGUGACUGGCGGGCUAGAGUAUGGCAGAGGGGGGUAGAAUUCCACGUGUAGCAGUGAAAUGCGUAGAGAUGUGGAGGAAUACCGAUGGCGAAGGCAGCCCCCUGGGCCAAUACUGACGCUCAUGCACGAAAGCGUGGGGAGCAAACAGG
rnacentral:rRNA from 1 species